AGUAAAAGUCGUAACAAGGUUUCCGUAGGUGAACCUGCGGAAGGAUCAUUACCGAGUGAGGGCCCUCUGGGUCCAACCUCCCACCCGUGUUUAUUUUACCUUGUUGCUUCGGCGGGCCCGCCUUUACUGGCCGCCGGGGGGCUCACGCCCCCGGGCCCGCGCCCGCCGAAGACACCCUCGAACUCUGUCUGAAGAUUGAAGUCUGAGUGAAAAUAUAAAUUAUUUAAAACUUUCAACAACGGAUCUCUUGGUUCCGGCAUCGAUGAAGAACGCAGCGAAAUGCGAUACGUAAUGUGAAUUGCGAAUUCAGUGAAUCAUCGAGUCUUUGAACGCACAUUGCGCCCCCUGGUAUUCCGGGGGGCAUGCCUGUCCGAGCGCCAUUGCUGCCCUCAAGCCCGGCUUGUGUGUUGGGCCCCGUCCUCCGAUUCCGGGGGACGGGCCCGAAAGGCAGCGGCGGCACCGCGUCCGGUCCUCGAGCGUAUGGGGCUUUGUCACCCGCUCUGUAGGCCCGGCCGGCGCUUGCCGAUCAACCCAAAUUUUUAUCCAGGUUGACCUCGGAUCAGGUAGGGAUACCCGCUGAACUUAAGCAUAUCAAUAAGCGGAGGAAAAGAAACCAACAGGAUUGCCCCAGUAACG
rnacentral:rRNA from 1 species